rnacentral:sRNA from 2 species
GGACAGGUUCUCUAGGGUUCCGCAUCAAAUGGACUGGUCCGAGAGAGAACCCGCAAUCGAUUUCUGGUUGCGACACGGAGGGACAAAAGCCCGGGAGAU